UCUAAAAGUGAGAGUCAGCUACUUGGAUUAACAAAGGGUGGUGAAGUGAAUAAGAUAAUCCAAGUAUGUAUAUGGUAGCCAUGAGUUCACAAACAAUGCAUAUACAUGAUAAUUGCAAAUUUAUUUCAGGUUCUAAUAGAUAGAGAAUGACAUCAGAUUAGCGAGUUUCGAAUCAAAGUAGUAUAGUCAAGUUGUAAAUUCAAAGCAGGGUGCAGUUUUACUUUAGAGAAACAAUCAGUUAUGCAACAGAGAACUAACAACCUGGGCAUUGAACUUACUUCGCUGAAUCUAAACAUGCUUAACGGUUUGAAAUCAUCAUUAUCCCCUAUGCAAAUGAGCAAUCCUAAAUGCAAGCACUCUAUAUACAAUCCCAAAAUAAAAUGCAAUCUACAUGACACUCUGUUUUUGUGAAGUCAUUUUCUGAAAAAUUUUAAAAUUUUAUGGGUUUUUUAUGCCUUAGAUGAUGCAAAAUUUGAAAUAAGUAAAGAGAACAAAAUGUCAAACAUGUCUUGAACCCUCCCCCCAAACUUAAAUUACACAGUCCCUUGUGUAAUAAAAAUCUGAAAAAGAAUUCAAGACUAAAACACAAAACACAAAGAAAAAU
rnacentral:sRNA from 1 species